UUUCCCCUCGAGUUAAAUCAGCAAAAUGGCACCUCUCCCCAAAAUCGAUCCCCAGCAGCACUUCCUGCGUGCCCACCCUUCCCUCUGGCCGGGCCGGGUUAUUCCCGUUCCCAAAGCUCGGGCUGCAUGAGGAGUUCUGUAAGCUGAAAGGAACUGUAGGCCCAGGGAGCUUUGGUCUGUGGGGAUCAUCACGCACAUCCCAGCCAGAACUGCAUCCAGAUUAAGGAAGAAAAAAUUCUGCUAAAAAUUCUGAACAAUGUUGACUUGUGAAGGCUGUAGAACAACUAUUGCUUCAAUAAACAGGAUUAGUUUUGGAUUACUUUUUCUACAAAGACUCUGGAGCACUGCCUUACUCCUCCUUGCUGUGAAACGUCAACCUCUUCAGAUCUCCAUGGUUAUCUCACAGAAUGAAAAGUAAAAUCAUUCUGGGAUGAUUAUAUAAAAAACUUGUAACGGGCAUAUUGAAAGCACUGGGACUGCUUGUUUAUGAACUGGUCAGACAAAUAUCUGUCAGAGAAAAUAGAUGCUGCCUUGGGACCAGAUAUGUCAUUUGAUUCCUACCAGCUCUGGACUCUAUUAUUCAAUAUGGUAAUAAAACUCACCAGUAGUUUCAUGCAAAUAUUCAUAAAGAUACAAUUCAAAGAGAGUAUAAAGCCUUUGACACUAAGCAGUGCAUGAGAUAGGCAGUUUUCUCCAACAUAAUAUCUACUUCUGGUUUUGGUGAAGUAAAUAGUCAAGCUUCUAAUUUAGCUUUGAUUUUAUAUUGUCAUCUCAGUAUCACUCCUUCGUCACAAUAUCUCAUCCCACCCACAGAUUCUUGUAUCAGAAUAAUACCUUUUCCACCUUCCUCCUCAGUAGGUUGGGACAACACAGAAAAGGAAACAGCACCACGGACAGCAAAU